AGAUGGCGACCGGCGCACGGGUGAGUAACACGUAUCCAACCUGCCGAUAACUCGGGGAUAGCCUUUCGAAAGAAAGAUUAAUACCCGAUGGUAUAAUCAGACCGCAUGGUCUUGUUAUUAAAGAAUUUCGGUUAUCGAUGGGGAUGCGUUCCAUUAGGCAGUUGGUGAGGUAACGGCUCACCAAACCUUCGAUGGAUAGGGGUCCUGAGAGGAAGGUCCCCCACAUUGGAACUGAGACACGGUCCAA
rnacentral:rRNA from 1 species